GUCUAAUGUUUUUGCUUCUCGCUCUCAGACGGCACGGUCACGGGUGUCCACGUUCUCUUCCGACGUGGCUCACCCCUUGAGAGGGGCGGGCCGCCGCCGAGGCAGAGGGGGUGUGUAGGCAAGGGUUCCGGUGCGCGGGGCACUCCGGGUAAUGAUCCCUCCGCAGGUUCACCUACGGAGA
rnacentral:misc_RNA from 1 species